CCGCCCAGCCCCGCCCGCGCAGAAACCGGAGCGAAACAGCUGCGGAUCUCCCUCUCCUCCCCAGGCUCCGGGCAACCUAGGCGAGGGGCGCCUAAGAUGGAGAGGAGGUUCGACCGUCUUCCCGGAGCAGAUAGGACCCGCGCGCCAGCCAAUCAGAGCGCGGCUCGGCCGCUCCCCGCCUCAGCCGCAGCCGCAGCCGCAGCCUCCGGGCAAGUGAAGUUCCAGCAACUCGCCCGCCCGAAGAGUCCGAGUCUUUCUUGUGCCCACAGCCCCGCGGAGGCAGAGAGCGCCAUCCAAACUUUAUUAAUCUCUCCCCGUUCUUUCUCCCUCAGUCCAGUGCAUCUCAAAGGAAAAAGAAGGGGGAGAAAUGGUGAAAAGAGCUUUUUUUUUUUUUUAAUCCCCCCCCCCGCCUUUUUUUGUCCUUCAGUGGGAGCGUUUAGACAGUCGAGGAGGUUUUGUCCGGGAACAAAACGCAGGGUUGGGAGGUUUUGUGAGAGUGUUGUUUGUUGAAGUGGAGCUAAGAAAAAGCGGCGGCUUUCUCCUCAUUGUGAAGAAACCAAUCAGUGGUAUUUGGAAAACUGUUAGCAUUGUGCACUUCUUCUGUGUCCAUUGUGAGGCGUUUCUUUUCACAAGGUUUUUUUUUCAGCCGAUCCAGCUGGCCGGAAUGAAUAGCGGUGCAAUGUGUACACGCUUUGUCCCUCCGGCCUUCAAGUAGCCCCCAUUGAAUAGACUAAGUUGACACUGCGUGACAGUGAAACAACAUAAUAAAAAAUACAUGAGCCCCUGAAUAGGAGCA
rnacentral:lncRNA from 1 species